rnacentral:pre_miRNA from 1 species
AGUUGUACAGAUGUCACAUUUUAUAAUUUAUGUUAAAAGUCACAUCAUGUACAACAGG